ensembl:lncRNA
AUGAGCUCGCUGCCUGUUCCCAACAAACUGAAGAAACGGAAAGACGUGGACAAAGGGAAGCACGUUCGAUAUGCAGAGAUGCCUCUGCCGUGCAAGUCGCUCUUCAGCGCACCGGAUACGCAGCCUGUUGACGCUACAAAGAGUCCCGGAAGACCACAAGUGCUUGUUCCUGACACAUGUGUACUGGACUCAUCCCAAGUCUUGAACGACGUAAAUCCGAACCAGGAAGAAGCGAUAGCAGAAACCUGCGGCCUUGAACUCCGUGACAAGCCUCACGUGAAAACUGCAGGCCAGCAAAGAAGUGUAAAGUCUUCCUGGAAGCACGACUUUUGUUUAAAACCAUACCACUUAUCCCCUCCCCCUUCGGCGCUGUCCCACAGUGCAGCCACGCCCACAGAAAAGUCCCCAUCGCUUCUCCACAGCGUCAAAAGGUUCUCAGAGGAUGGAUCCAACAACAAAGCAAAACGGAAGAAGGAGGAAAGUGAACCAGAGAUGCAAGAGGAUGACAAACCGGGGGUCCGGGGAGGGGCGGACAAACCGAACGAAGGCCGAAAAAUGCAACCAGAACUGCUGAAACGAAGCUCCACACCUUCAGCCAGUCCACUUUCGAAGGAGUGCCUGGUGAACGGCAGGGAUCAGUCUGCACAAAACCGGAGUCUGAGCCAAAGGCCAAAUGUCUGUCCUGUUUUCAAGAAGCCAAAUGUGAAGGCAAAAUCCAUCGAGUGCUUUUUUAGGAGCAAGGCGAAUCCCCAGGAGGAUCCGAAUGGCUCAUGUGAGCAACAGAAAGGAAAAGAUGCUGGAUGGAGGCCCAAAGUGGAGCCCGCGUGGAGUAUUGACCCGGCGCUUGGCCCGUCCAUGUACGACAGCGAGUGGAGAGGCGACGAGAUGAAGGAAGAAGAAGAAGA